rnacentral:rRNA from 1 species
UUAAUAGUAAAAUCUGCUCAAUGAAAAAUAAAUAGCCGCAAUAAGUGCUAAGGUAGCAUAAUCAUUUGUCUUCUAAUUAAAGACUAGAACAAAAGAUUUAAUAUUUUAAAUUUUUUAUUUAAAUUAAUAUUUAAAAUUAUUUUAAAUGUAAAAAAACAUUUUUUUAAAAAAUAGACGACAAGACCCUAUUGAACUUAACUUUAGUUAAACUGGGGCAGUAAAUUAAUAAUUAUUUUAAUUUAUAUUAAAUAUCAAAAAUUCAAAAAAUUGAAUAAUUCAGUUACCAUAGGGAUAACAGCGUAAUUAUAUUUUAGAGCCCUUAUCUAAAAAUUAGAUUACGACCUCGAUGUUGAAUUAAUAUUCUUUUCUUUAAAGCAAAUUUUAAAAAAGAAAGUCUGUUCGACUUUUAAAAAAUUACAUGAUUUGAGUUCAGACCGGUGUAAGCCAGGUCGGUUUCUAUCUUUUAAAAACAACUCUACAGUACGAAAGGACCUACAGAUUUAAUAUAAUUUUCUAUAUGGCAGAUAAAUGCAUUAGAAUUAGAAUCUAAUAAUGCUUAA